GUCUGCUCACCCUCGGAUGUUGCUGUGUGUUCCGUUACCUGUUUUGCCUGCCUGUUAGUUUAUUUUUCCUCAGUGCGGCGCACGGAGCUUUCCGCUACACACUGGCGACCGCCAUUGGAGACUGGAAUCUCAACACAGCUGCUGCGGAAUUCCUCCUCAUGCCAUUCUGAGCCUAACUCACCGGCCUCUUUCUUGGCAGCAAUGUGGUCAGAGGAUGAAGAGCAAGCCUUCAUCGCUCCACCAUCACCAGUUUCCUCCAUCACCUCUGUUCCCUCAUCAGGGAGGAAACGUCGUUCACGCCACCGGCAUCCCUUAACUCAGCCGGAUUCUGGGACUUCUGAGCAGCCGGCUGGGAGCAAUACUGAGCUGCAGUGGGCAGAAAGGCAGGAAAGUGAAUUCUGGUCUUGUUACUUUAAAUCGAGAAAGCCGAUGGAGGCAGCAGCAGCAGGUAGCAGAGCAUGCCUGUCCAGCUUCCUUCUCCCCUACCGGAUCCAACUCACAACCAGGUGGUGAUCAAGUUGACAGCUCUGCUAUGACAGUAAAACAAAGUCAGCCAGAUGUAUAAAUCCUCUGGGCAUUGUGAGUAGUGCUGGACAGUCAGCACACUCACACUCUCUGCCAAAAGCAAAGGAGUCUACCCCCACCCCCACCCA
ensembl:lncRNA